rnacentral:rRNA from 2 species
UGGGGAAUUUUGGACAAUGGGCGAAAGCCUGAUCCAGCCAUGCCGCGUGAGUGAAGAAGGCCUUCGGGUUGUAAAGCUCUUUCGGACGGAAAGAAAUCGCGCGGGCUAAUAUCCCGCGUGGAUGACGGUACCGUAAGAAGAAGCACCGGCUAACUACGUGCCAGCAGCCGCGGUAAUACGUAGGGUGCGAGCGUUAAUCGGAAUUACUGGGCGUAAAGCGUGCGCAGGCGGUUUUGUAAGACAGGUGUGAAAUCCCCGGGCUUAACCUGGGAACUGCGCUUGUGACUGCAAGGCUAGAGUACGGCAGAGGGGGGUGGAAUUCCACGUGUAGCAGUGAAAUGCGUAGAGAUGUGGAGGAACACCGAUGGCGAAGGCAGCCCCCUGGGCCUGUACUGACGCUCAUGCACGAAAGCGUGGGGAGCAAACAGG